rnacentral:rRNA from 1 species
UUAGAGGAAGUAAAAGUCGUAACAAGGUCUCCGUAGGUGAACCUGCGGAGGGAUCAUUACAGAGUUCAUGCCCUUACGGGUAGAUCUCCCACCCUAUGUUAUUAUUACCUUUGUUGCUUUGGCGGGCCGUCAGGCCUCGGUCAGGCUAUCGGCUCCGGCUGGUAAGCGCCCGCCAGAGGACCCAAAAACUCUGAAUGUUAAUGUCGUCUGAGUACUAUAUAAUAGUUAAAACUUUCAACAACGGAUCUCUUGGUUCUGGCAUCGAUGAAGAACGCAGCGAAAUGCGAUAAGUAAUGUGAAUUGCAGAAUUCAGUGAAUCAUCGAAUCUUUGAACGCACAUUGCGCCCCUUGGUAUUCCGAGGGGCAUGCCUGUUCGAGCGUCAUUACAACCCUCAAGCAUUGCUUGGUAUUGGGCUCCGCUGCUCACCUAGCGGGCCUUAAAAUCAGUGGCGGUGCCGUCGAGGCCCUGAGCGUAGUAAAUAUCCUCGCUAUAGGGACUCGGUGGACGCUGGCCAUUAACCCCCAACUUUCUAAGUUUGACCUCGGAUCAGGUAGGGAUACCCGCUGAACUUAAGCAUAUCAAUA